ensembl:scaRNA Scarna8 small Cajal body-specific RNA 8
CGGGAGAGUGAUACGCAACUUGGGCAGAAGUCCUGCUCUAGUUGUCACUGGACCUCCCCAGAGUAAACUGCCUUUCGAUGACCAGGGCGAAUUGAGUGAAAUCGUCAUGGACAGAUACGGGGCAGACAGUU